rnacentral:rRNA from 1 species
AAUAUUGGUCAUUGGGCGCAGGCAUGAUCCAGCCAUGCCGCGUGUGUGAAGAAGGUCUUCGGUUUGUAAAGCACUUUGAUUUGGGAGGAAGGGCAGUUAACGAAUACUUAACUGUUUUGACGUUACGAACAGAAUAAGACACGGCUAACUUAGUGCCAGCCGUAGCGGUGAUACGUAGGGGGAAAGGAUUAAUCGGAAUUACUGGGCGUAAAGCGGACGGAGGUGGUUCGUUAAGUUGGAAGUGAAAGCCCCGGGCUCAACCUGGGAAUUGCUUUCAAAACUGGCGAGCUAGAAUACGGUAGAGGGUGGUGGAAUUUCCUUUGUAGCGGUGAAAUGCGUAGGUAUAGGAAGGAACAGCAGUGGCGAAGGCGACCACCUGGACUGAUACUGACACUGAGGUGCGGAAACGUGGGGAGCAAACAGG